GGAGGAAAAGAAACCAACAGGGAUUGCCUUAGUAGCGGCGAGUGAAGCGGCAAAAGCUCAAAUUUGAAAUCUGGCGCCUUCGGUGUCCGAGUUGUAAUUUGAAGAUUGUAACCUUGGGGUUGGCUCUUGUCUAUGUUUCUUGGAACAGGACGUCACAGAGGGUGAGAAUCCCGUGCGAUGAGAUGCCCAAUCCUAUGUAAGGUGCUUUCGAAGAGUCGAGUUGUUUGGGAAUGCAGCUCUAAGUGGGUGGUAAAUUCCAUCUAAAGCUAAAUAUUGGCGAGAGACCGAUAGCGAACAAGUACAGUGAUGGAAAGAUGAAAAGAACUUUGAAAAGAGAGUGAAAAAGUACGUGAAAUUGUUGAAAGGGAAGGGUUUGAGAUCAGACUCGAUAUUUUGUGAGCCUUGCCUUCGUGGCGGGGUGACCCGCAGCUUAUCGGGCCAGCAUCGGUUUGGGCGGUAGGAUAAUGGCGUAGGAAUGUGACUUUACUUCGGUGAAGUGUUAUAGCCUGCGUUGAUGCUGCCUGCCUAGACCGAGGACUGCGAUUUUAUCAAGGAUGCUGGCAUAAUGAUCCCAAACCGCCCGUCUUGAAA
rnacentral:rRNA from 1 species